ACCCGCUGAACUUAAGCAUAUCAAUAAGCGGAGGAAAAGAAACCAACAGGGAUUGCCUCGGUAACGGCGAGUGAAGCGGCAAAAGCUCAAAUUUGAAAUCUGGUCUCGUUUCGGGAUCCGAGUUGUAAUUUGCAGAGGAUGCUUCGGGUGUGGCCGCGGCGUAAGUUCCUUGGAACAGGGCAUCAUAGAGGGUGAGAAUCCCGUCUUGAGCCGCCGGACCGCGCCCGUGAGAAGCUCCUUCGACGAGUCGAGUUGUUUGGGAAUGCAGCUCUAAGUGGGUGGUAAAUUUCAUCUAAAGCUAAAUAUUGGCCGGAGACCGAUAGCGCACAAGUAGAGUGAUCGAAAGGUUAAAAGCACCUUGAAAAGGGAGUUAAACAGCACGUGAAAUUGUUGAAAGGGAAGCGCUUGCAACCAGACUCGGUCGCGGGGGUUCAGCGGGCAUUCUUGCCCGUGUACUCCCCCGCGCUCCGGGCCAGCAUCGGUUCCGACGGUUGGUCAAAGGCCCCCGGAAUGUAUCGUCCUCCGGGACGUCUUAUAGCCGGGGGUGCAAUGCAGCCAGUCGGGGCCGAGGAACGCGCUUCGGCUCGGAUGCUGGCAUAAUGGUUGU
rnacentral:rRNA from 1 species